UACAGAGGUGCCGAGCGUUAGGCGGAAUCACUGGGCUUAAAGCGUGUGUAGGCGGAUUCCUAAGUACCUUGUGAAAUCCCAUGGCUCAACCAUGGAACUGCUUGGUAUACUGGGUGUCUUGAGCCAGCUAGGGGCUACCGGAACAAAUGGUGGAGCGGUGAAAUGCGUAGAUAUCAUUUGGAACGCCAAUGGUGAAAACAGGUAGCUGGGGCUGUGCUGACGCUGAGACACGAAAGCCAGGGGAGCGAACGGG
rnacentral:rRNA from 1 species